AAUGGCGGUCUGUACUGAAGCUCUGAAAGGAGAAUAUGAGGAAAGAGAACAUCUACAUCACAGGAGACGUCACUGGAUGUAAGAGAGACGAAAAAUGGCUGAAAAAUGGCGGUCUGUACUGAAGCUCUGAAAGGAGAAUAUGAGGAAAGAGAACAUCUACAUCACAGGAGACGUCACUGGAUGUAAGAGAGACGAAAAAUGGCUGAAAAAUGGCGGUCUGUACUGAAGCUCUGAAAGGAGAAUAUGAGGAAAGAGAACAUCUACAUCACAGGAGACGUCACUGGAUGUAAGAGAGACGAAAAAUGGCUGAAAAAUGGCGGUCUGUACUGAAGCUCUGAAAGGAGAAUAUGAGGAAAGAGAACAUCUACAUCACAGGAGACGUCACUGGAUGUAAGAGAGACGAAAAAUGGCUGAAAAAUGGCGGUCUGUACUGAAGCUCUGAAAGGAGAAUAUGAGGAAAGAGAACAUCUACAUCACAGGAGACGUCACUGGAUGUAAGAGAGACGAAAAAUGGCUGAAAAAUGGCGGUCUGUACUGAAGCUCUGAAAGGAGAAUAUGAGGAAAGAGAACAUCUACAUCACAGGAGACGUCACUGGAUGUAAGAGAGACGAAAAAUGGCUGAAAAAUGGCGGUCUGUACUGAAGCUCUGAAAGGAGAAUAUGAGGAAAGAGAACAUCUACAUCACAGGAGACGUCACUGGAUGUAAGAGAGACGAAAAAUGGCUGAAAAAUGGCGGUCUGUACUGAAGCUCUGAAAGGAGAAUAUGAGGAAAGAGAACAUCUACAUCACAGGAGACGUCACUGGAUGUAAGAGAGACGAAAAAUGGCUGAAAAAUGGCGGUCUGUACUGAAGCUCUGAAAGGAGAAUAUGAGGAAAGAGAACAUCUACAUCACAGGAGACGUCACUGGAUG